UUAUUUGUUAGUUGGUUAGUAUAUAGGGAUAUUAUGUGAUAUAUUGAUUUCCUUAAUUAACCCUUGUUUUAUGACAGUAUUUGAGAAUGUUGACUGAGAAUAUUAACAGUGGAAAUGAGACCGUGGAGAUGCCUGUACUUACCAACGAGGAGAACGUGCAACAGGCUGGCAAUGUACCUCAUGUGAACAACACCACUGAGCAGAUGAUGAAC
rnacentral:lncRNA from 1 species